rnacentral:lncRNA from 1 species
AUUUGGAGGAGGACGUGGCCAUUCAAUUCUAAAUGCCUGAAUAUAAUGUUAAAAUAAAACAUGUAUCAAAUAGGUCAUAGCUUGCUACAGCUGGAUGGGGAUCUAAUGUCCUUGCCAGAAUCUAACUCAGUGCAGGAAGAAGACACAGAUGUUGAGAUGCACUGGACUGAUGUUCAGAAGAAGGAAGUUGUAACUGGACCCUUCCAUCUACAUCUUGGUGCUCAUGCAGGGAUCACGUGGGAUGGGAUUCUCACAGAUGUAGGUGGGACACAAAACUUAGAGUAGUGCAGGGGGAGGAUAUCCAUGCUCAGUUGCAAGCCUUGGAUCAUUCCUCAUUACCAUCAGUGCUUGGAAAGUCAGUUUACGUCUUCUCCAUCGCUUCUUCCAUCUGUCCUUAUCUGCCCUUAUAUCGUGAGGGAGACUGAAGGUUGCUCUCAGGACCCAUCAACUCCAUGAAGCUGAGUCAUGUAUCGUACGCAGUGUGUUGUUGCAAGUUGGAUCUGACGUGCUCCUUGAGCAGCUGUAGUCCCUGGUGGCGUGUUGCAGUAAUUUCUUUAUGUGUUCAGGAGGUGUUCCAGUGAAACUGAACCUCUGCAUCAUGCUCAAGAGGUAAAGCACAGGGACCUGGCUGUGCUAGGGGACAGUAUUGAGAGGCUGGCUCACAGGCCAGUGAGUGGGUGGGGAGCUGAGUGACCGCUAUUCAGGUUUCAUGAACUAAAGCUUGCUUGUGAGUGAGAGCUGUGUGAUCACUGAAUUAAAUCCCUUGGUGUCUGGAGUCUCCUGGCAAGAGCUCAGUAGGUCCUGGGCUGUGCAGCCUGGCUUGAGAGGGAGGAGGAAUGUUGGGGGGUUAUGAUGAGACUUGUAAGCAUCGCAGCCCUAUCCAUGGACAAUCUCACUUCACUUUGUGUAUUGUCGUUGUCCUUUCC